rnacentral:lncRNA from 1 species
CGACCUAAGCCAAAUCAACUCUCCGGCGACAACAAUAGCCAUCUAAGUUCGACUUCACUUUUGAAAUCCAAUUCUACAAGGAACUCUAUACGUGCUCAAAAAUUUAAAUUGAUUUUGUAACAAAAAUUAGCUUAUGGUCAUAUACGAGUGAGAAGCCAGGAGGAUCUUUAUUGACCAUGGUAGGCAACUUUGGAAAGAGGCAAAUAACCAGAGCUUUAGAAGAUAGAG